GGAGGGGCGGGGCCUGCAAGAAGAGUGGAGGGCGGAGGGCAGAAGGGACUGGGGAAGGGGCGAGGCCUGGAAGAAUAGAGGCAGAGGCGGGAGCGGCCGAUCUUGGCGGAUCCCGCCUCCUCGCGACUCGGCCCCCAGGUCACAUCCCUCCGUCGGUGCCCGCCACCCACUCACCGUGGGGCUCCCGUGCGGCAGGUACACCGGGUAGUCGCGAGCGGUCUGCGGCGGCAGGGACCCCACCAGCCAGGGGAGCAGCACGGCCUCGGGCGUCCCCAGCCGCCACCAACCCUCUGUUGCUGCCACCACCCGGCCGGACACCACCAGACUGACGAAGGUCGUGCCCGCGGCCUCAGCGAACCCGGAGAGGGCUUCCUGGGUACGGGAGGCAGGAGGACUGGGAGUCAGCAGACAAGCGUAGGGGGUGGCAGCGACUUCCCAGAUGGGCAGGGAAUGGGGAGAAACCCACAGCCAGCCCCGAGCUCGCGCAGUGGCCAUGCUCCUACGUCUCACCCUCUCUGAGCCUGAGUUCCUUCACUUUCAUACGAAGUCACAUCCCCAACUCACACUGUGAAGUCUGUGAAAUCUGAUUAAACAUCUAGCCUGGGCGGGCAAACUGAAGCUAAUAAUGUAACCGCAGCAGCUACCGUUCAUCCAGGCCUGUUACAUGCCGAGUAGGCACCAUUAGCAACGUAGAGAAGCCAAGUCACCUGCUGAGAGUCACAUGCCUGGGAGGCCGCCACACCAGGCAAGUCCACAAGAGCAGUAUUUAAGUAGAGGUAGCUAGAGAUCUGAGAGGCAGGAGGAAGAACAUGCACUGAGGUUGGAAACUUGUUGGGAUCUCAGGACUGUGAGGUAGCUGGGUGGAAGUAGACUGUGGAUUUAGCAACAGGUUAGGGGGUGCCAGGUGCCACAGGCCUUCAAACACCAGGCUGAGGAGCUGGGACCUUGUCCUGGGGGAGGUGGAGGCUGCCGGAGGGCUGUGAGCAGGAAAGGGGCAGAGCCAGCUCUGGAUAUAGUAGGGUUCUUCUGGUGGCCGGGUGUGAUGGCUCACACCUGUCAUCCCAGCACUAUGGGAGGCUGAGGCGGGAGGACUGCUUGAGCCCAGGAGUUCGAGACCAGCCCGGGCAACUUAAUGGAAACCCAUCCCCAACCCUAGUCCAUCUCUUAAAAAAAAAAAUAGCUGAAUGUCAGCCGGGCGCGGUGGCUCAUGCCUGUAAUCCCAGCACUUUGGGAGGCUGAGGCGGGUGGAUCACGAGGUCAGGCGUUCAAGACCAGCCUGGCCAACAUAGUGAAACCCUGUCUCUACUAAAAAUACAAAAAAUUAGCUGGGCCAGGCGUGGUGACCAGCGCUUAUAAUCCUAGCUACUCGGGAGGUUGAGGCAGGGGAAUCGUUUGAACCCAGGAGGCAGAGGUUGCAGUGAGCCAAGAUUGCGCCAUUGCACUCCAGCCCCUGUGACAGUGUAAGACUCUGUCUCAAAAAAAAAAAAAAAAAAAAAAUAGCUGAAUGUGGUGGCACAGUGCCUAUAGUGUCAGCUACUGGGGAGGCUGAGAUGAGAGGAUCACUUGAAUCCAGGAGUUCAAGGCUGCAGUGAGCUAUGACUGAGCCACUGUGCUCUAGCCUGGAUGACAGAGCAAGACCCUGUCUCAGAAAAGAAAGAAAGAUGGCCCAGGCGCAGUGGCUCACGCCUGUCAUCCCAGCACUGUGGGAGGCCAAGGCAGGUGGAUCACCUGAGGUAAGAAGUUCGAGACCAG
rnacentral:lncRNA from 1 species